UACGUAGGGUGCGAGCGUUAAUCGGAAUUACUGGGCGUAAAGCGUGCGCAGGCGGUUCGUUAAGUUCGUUGUGAAAGCCCCGGGCUCAACCUGGGAACUGCAAUGGAAACUGGCGGGCUUGAGUGUGGCAGAGGGGGGUGGAAUUCCGCGUGUAGCAGUGAAAUGCGUAGAGAUGCGGAGGAACACCGAUGGCGAAGGCAACCCCCUGGGCCAACACUGACGCUCAGGCACGAAAGCGUGGGGAGCAAACAGG
rnacentral:rRNA from 1 species